rnacentral:lncRNA from 1 species
CUCAGAGAGACUGAGAAAGUGAAAAAUGUGUUCUAAUGACUCACGCUGCUAAGAAGAAAAACAAUCCAGACUUGGAGCCCAUUAAGAAGGGAGAACAGGUUGAAAUUUUGAAGAGUGGCACCAUAGGAGAGCAGUUUUCAAAGUGUGAUCCAGGCACCAGCAGAUGGAGGAAUUAGUGAAAAGCCAGGGAAGUUAGAGGCCUGGGUCUGUGCCACCGGGCAGCCCCAAGGACAGGAAGUCAGCUCCUCUCCUGCUGGUGUUAAGAGGGAUGAGUGGAGAGCAGAAGACUGGAGCGAUGACAGUUGAUGCAGACAGUGCUGGAAGUUUGCCAACUUCGAUUUGGGUAUAUCAAUGCAUUUGCAGAAAAAAUAGACUGAAUCUUAAGAAUAAAGCACCAAGUAUUAGUG